rnacentral:piRNA from 1 species
AAAAAAUGUGGUACUUUGCUCAUCAGGCAU